AAACAAUUGCAGCUCAUCUGUAACUACCAUCGCUAUCGCCACAGAGAAAAACAAACAGCAAUAAAAGACGACGGCGACGAAAAACUGUAACAAUAGGUUCAACUGACAGGCCCCAUUUGGUCACCCAGAUAAGCUUAUCUCAGCCUGCGUCGGCACACAUGUUCCCCUUCUAAAAAAAAUUAAGCGGACAUCAUAUUUCUUUCAGGUCAGGAACAUUACAACUAAAACAACAUUGCUGACUUUAAUAAACUUGCCAGAAAACGUUGGGGAAAGAUGGUACUGCGGAGACGCCGCGGGAAUAAAAAUAUGUAUAUAUAUAUAUAUUUUUUAUGUGUGCAGAUCCAGAAAUAAGCUGUCAUUGUACAGCAAAGUCACUAUUUAUAAAUCCAUAUUAAGCCCCAUAUGGAAAUAUGCACUUCAAAUUUACGGCAUUGCGGCAAAAACAAACUUAAACAAAAUCAGAGUUGCCCAAUCAAAAAUCCUGAGGCGAAUAUGCAACGCACCAUGGUACAUGCGAAAUAGGGACAUCGAA